rnacentral:rRNA from 1 species
AUUGAACGCUGGCGGCAGGCCUAACACAUGCAAGUCGAACGAGUGGCGGACGGGUGAGUAAUGUCUGGGAAACUGCCCGAUGGAGGGGGAUAACUACUGGAAACGGUAGCUAAUACCGCAUACCAUCGGAUGUGCCCAGAGGGGAGUAGCUUGUAGGUGAGGUAACGGCUCACCUAGGCGACGAUCCCUAGCUGGUCUGAGAGGAGGACGAGAAAAAUGGGAACUGAGACACGGUCCAGACUCCUACGGGAGGUAGUAGUGGGGAAUAUUGAACAAUGGUCGCUAUGCUGAUGCAGCCAUGCCGCGUGUAUGAAGAAGGCCUUCGGGUUGUAAAGUACUUUCAGCGGGGAGGCGUUACCCGCAGAAGAAGCACCGGCUAACUCCGUGCCAGCAGCCGCGGUAAUUC